rnacentral:rRNA from 1 species
UGGGGAAUAUUGCACAAUGGGCGCAAGCCUGAUGCAGCCAUGCCGCGUGUGUGAAGAAGGCCUUCGGGUUGUAAAGCACUUUCAGCGAGGAGGAAGGUGGUGAACUUAAUACGUUCAUCAAUUGACGUUACUCGCAGAAGAAGCACCGGCUAACUCCGUGCCAGCAGCCGCGGUAAUACGGAGGGUGCAAGCGUUAAUCGGAAUUACUGGGCGUAAAGCGCACGCAGGCGGUUUGUUAAGUCAGAUGUGAAAUCCCCGGGCUCAACCUGGGAACUGCAUUUGAAACUGGCAAGCUAGAGUCUCGUAGAGGGGGGUAGAAUUCCAGGUGUAGCGGUGAAAUGCGUAGAGAUCUGGAGGAAUACCGGUGGCGAAGGCGGCCCCCCUGGA